rnacentral:rRNA from 1 species
UUGCUCCCGGAUGUUAGCGGCGGACGGGUGAGUAACACGUGGGUAACCUGCCUGUAAGACUGGGAUAACUCCGGGAAACCGGAGCUAAUACCGGAUAGUUCCUUGAACCGCAUGGUUCAAGGAUGAAAGACGGUUUCGGCUGUCACUUACAGAUGGACCCGCGGCGCAUUAGCUAGUUGGUGAGGUAACGGCUCACCAAGGCGACGAUGCGUAGCCGACCUGAGAGGGUGAUCGGCCACACUGGGACUGAGACACGGCCCAGACUCCUACGGGAGGCAGCAGUAGGGAAUCUUCCGCAAUGGACGAAAGUCUGACGGAGCAACGCCGCGUGAGUGAUGAAGGUUUUCGGAUCGUAAAGCUCUGUUGUUAGGGAAGAACAAGUGCAAGAGUAACUGCUUGCACCAUGACGGUACCUAACCAGAAAGCCACGGCUAACUACGUGCCAGCAGCCGCGGUAAUACGUAGGUGGCAAGCGUUGUCCGGAAUUAUUGGGCGUAAAGGGCUCGCACGCGGUUUCUUAAGUCUGAUGUGAAAGCCCCCGGCUCAACCGGGGAGGGUCAUUGGAAACUGGGAAACUUGAGUGCAGAAGAGGAGAGUGGAAUUCCACGUGUAGCGUGUGAAAUGCGUAGAGAUGUGGAGGAACACCAGUGGCGAAGGCGACUCUCUGGUCUGUAACUGACGCUGAGGAGCGAAAGAGUGGGGAGCGAACAGGAUUAGAUACCCUGGUAAUCCACGCCGUACACGAUGAGUGCUAAGUGCUACGGGGGUUUCCGCUCUCUUAGCGGAGCAGCUAACGCAUUAAGCACUCCGCCGGGGGAGUGCGGUCCCACGACUGAAACUCAACAGAAUUGACAGGGGCCCGCACCAGCGGCUUGAGUAUGUGGAUG